GCACUGGUGGUUCAGUGGUAGAAUUCUCGCCUUUCAUGCAGGAGACACAGGUUUAAUUCCUAACCAAUGCA
rnacentral:tRNA from 1 species